UACGUAGGGUGCGAGCGUUGUCCGGAAUUACUGGGCGUAAAGAGCUCGUAGGUGGUUUGUCGCGUUGUCCGUGAAAACUCACAACUCAAUUGUGGGCGUGCGGGCGAUACGGGCAGACUGGAGUACUGCAGGGGAGACUGGAAUUCCUGGUGUAGCGGUGAAAUGCGCAGAUAUCAGGAGGAACACCGGUGGCGAAGGCGGGUCUCUGGGCCGACUACUCGCUGAGGAGCGAAAGCGUGGGGAGCGAACAGG
rnacentral:rRNA from 1 species